GACGAACGCUGGCGGCGUGCUUAACACAUGCAAGUCGAACGGAAAGGCCCUGCUUUUGUGGGGUGCUCGAGUGGCGAACGGGUGAGUAACACGUGAGUAACCUGCCCUUGACUUUGGGAUAACUUCAGGAAACUGGGGCUAAUACCGGAUAGGAGCUCCUGCUGCAUGGUGGGGGUUGGAAAGUUUCGGCGGUUGGGGAUGGGCUCGCGGCUUAUCAGCUUGUUGGUGGGGUAGUGGCUUACCAAGGCUUUGACGGGUAGCCGGCCUGAGAGGGUGACCGGCCACAUUGGGACUGAGAUACGGCCCAGACUCCUACGGGAGGCAGCAGUGGGGAAUAUUGCACAAUGGGCGGAAGCCUGAUGCAGCAACGCCGCGUGCGGGAUGACGGCCUUCGGGUUGUAAACCGCUUUCGCCUGUGACGAAGCGUGGGUGACGGUAAUGGGUAAAGAAGCACCGGCUAACUACGUG
rnacentral:rRNA from 1 species